rnacentral:lncRNA from 1 species
AUGAAUCUAACUAAAAAGAGUUUUGUUUUGUUUCUUUUUUUAUCUUUCCCUGCUAGGUGUUUGACUUUGAACUGUCCAAAAAGGAGAUGGAUGUCAUCCUCAGCUUUAACAGGAACUGGAGGGCAGUUCCAGUGGUCCAAGCUGUCAACCACAAGGACUACCCGUUCAAAGCAGAGUAUUAAAUGCAGGUGGUUCCUGCAAGACCUCCAUUUAACUCCUUCCACAUCAGCGUCUUUAGGGGCCUCCUAUGGUUCUUUCUCAAAUUGUCUCAAACCUGCUGAGAAAGAGACGGAUUAAAUAUGGCUUGAAGGAACCCAAACACAUCUCCAGAACAGAAAAGGCACAGCUCUUUUAGCUCACUCUCUCAAAGGUUAACAGGUAAGGAUAUGGGGUGGGUGUGCUCUGCUCAUGGAUUGAGCUGCUCUGAGGUGGGUCCCAAGAGGGACAAAAAUCAGAUUUCAGCCUCUGAGGAGAGGCUCAGCAGUGCCCAAACCCCUGGGACAGCUCCUGUGGGUGAAGAACACUUUCCAUGGGGACACGGCUGCACUAACCCUGAGCCAGCCCAAAAUCCUCUCCCCUGACACUUUGGUUUAAAAAAGGACAAGAAGAGCAAAACAAUUCUGCUUUGCACCACUCUAAACCAAAAGGAAGAGUUCACAGGUAUACCAUACCUCUGGCUUUACAUAAAAACACUAAAAAUGUGUGUGCACACAUUAAAGUGUAGAAAACCAAGAGUUUCUCUAUAUUUGAUCAUUUUCCUCAGUAAAGAAUUGAUGUUGCAAAGCAUCCUUAAAGCUGUUAAACUGGUCAGCAAACUUCCAUUCUCCCCCACUGGUUCUCAGCCAUAAAAUUAGUUUAAUUGGCUGUAUUUGGAGUGCUUUAGGUUAAAAUAGAAAUAAAAAGAGGACAAUUAACUAGGUUGUCUUCA